UAAAAAAAAUAAGUUUAAUUUUGCCAAACUAAUAAAAAGUAGUGGUGUGUAUACACAUAUAGGUAUGCAGUUACCCCUUGGAGGAAGACCCUAUCCUGAAAAACAUCUGAAUUGAAACUGCGAGCGCGACGAAAUAAGUUGCGGCUCUUUUGUGUUUUCGCCGGACCUGGUGUGCUGUCCAAAUCUCGCCAAAUCCACGCAAAACCCACGCAA